UACGUAGGGUGCAAGCGUUAAUCUGAAUUACUGGGCGUAAAGCGCGCGCAGGCGGUCGUGCAAGACAGAUGUGAAAUCCCCGGGCUCAACCUGGGAAUUGCAUUUGUGACUGCACGGCUGGAGUACGGCAGAGGGGGAUGGAAUUCCGCGUGUAGCAGUGAAAUGCGUAGAUAUGCGGAGGAACACCGAUGGCGAAGGCAAUCCCCUGGGCCUGUACUGACGCUCAUGCAUGAAAGCGAGGGGAGCAAACAGG
rnacentral:rRNA from 1 species